CGGAACCGCGGAACCGGAACCGUAUAACCGGAACCGUUUAGAACCGCGGAACCGCCAGAACCGCGAUUCGGGUCACGGUUCCGGUUCGGAACCGUUAUUCUUCCACCCUUAUCGUGAACCUAUUUGUUUGUUGAAAAAAUGCGUAAUUGUUGGGAACUUGAAAAAUUAAUCAGUAGGGAAUUGAAUUAAUUUAAGAGGAAUUUAGGAGAACAAUUUUUAAAAGUUUUAAAUAUGAAAAGAAAGGAAUAUAUUAUCUGGUAAAGGGGAAUAAAGGAAUUCAGAACUAGAGUAACGCAAAACAUAACUUAAUUAAAGAACCAAAAUAAUGUGGAAAAAAG
rnacentral:lncRNA from 1 species